UACAGCCAUAUCACAUUGAAACACUGGCUCUUGUACGAUCAUUGAAGUUAACCAUCAUCAAGCCUAGUCAGUAGCUAGAUGGGUGACCACUUAGAAAUACCAGGUGCUGUAAG